GAUAAUGUAACAUUCGUCAUCGUUAAUCAGCAGCCUUCGACUUUAAUUUUCAUCGUGCGAAUAGAUGAUAUUCUUGUAUCAUAGAACAUAAGACGUUGAUUAAUAAAACGAAAAUUAUCGGAGAUCUUAUGUCGUUUAAUCUUGUGAGAAAGCGAAACAUUUUUUUCUCGUCGUUCAUAAUUAAAGAGGAAUGAAAAUAUCCGCGACCCGCUUUUGCUGAGAAAAAAACGUCAACAGUCGAGGAAAUCGCUCUUAGCGAUCAUGCGGAAUCCAUCCAAGCCCAAAUUCAUUCUUCCAAAGGUUUCGACUGCUCUAGCCGAUGCCGUUGUGGUACCAAAAGAAAUAUUAGCGCUUGUCAGUAAUGCCAGGAACCCAAUGAAUGAGGCUGCACCCCCAAAGACAAAAACAGAGCCGAUCAAUAGGAGAUAUUCACGUGGAAUUUCUAGCGUGAAUGAUUUGAAUCGAGAUGUCAUGAUUGAACAAGCUAAGACGCAGCAUUCCUUUUACAAGUUCGGGACACCCAUGCCGCCCUUCCAAGGCAAAAUGGAACUAGAAGUACACUUCAAAGGCCAAAAAUCUCUUAACAUUUCAAAGACCGAAUUUCCUUGUGAUAUCUGCAACUACGUGAGCAAGAAAAAAAGGAUACUAGAAGCGCAUUUCAUUAGGAAACACACAGACGUUUACAAUUUUUCUUGCGAGGUAUGCGGAAAGGCGUAUAAAAUAAAGAACGAUCUCAGAACACACGUGGUGAAAUAUCAUAGCGGUAAUCCUACGGUCGUUUGCGAUGUCUGCGGAAAAUCCUGCGUGGAUAAGCAUACCUUAAAGGUCCACCAGAAGUUCGCGCACUAUAAACCGGAGUUCAAGUGCUCAAUUUGCCCAAAACGAUUGGUAUCUCGGAAGAAUUUAGAGCAACAUGUUCGUUGGCAUAGCGAAAAAGUGAUAUGUGAAGAGUGCGGGAAAACAUUUUCUGAAAAAUGUGGGCUCACUGUUCAUAUGAGGACGCAUACGGGUGACAAACCAUACCCUUGUCCUAUCUGUGGAAAGCCUUUUGCACGAUCCGGUGCGCAAAGGCAACAUAUUUUAACACACACAGGGCAGAAACCGUAUGUUUGCGACGUAUGUGGAAAGUCCUUUACACAAAAACCCGGACUUAUUGGUCACAGGAAAACGCAUCCGGGACCUUUGCCACCUCUUCCGCCUCUUUACAUAGAGGAUAUAAUAAAAAAGUUCAAGGCAGAUCACCUCGACAAGUGAAGAACUCCAGCAGAGAAGAAAUAGUUAGCUAUGGAUUCUGAGAAAAUUGUAUCACGACCACGAAUUUUCUUUAUUAAAAAUAAUGUUAAUUACAACGUAAUCUGAUCUAUGGAACGAGCUGUGGCGGUCGACCGGCAUAAAACAAACUAUCCACGAGUGCCGCAAGUGCGAUGCUGGAUUCUUUCACAUGACAAA
rnacentral:misc_RNA from 1 species